UACAGAGGUGGCAAGCGUUGGUUCGGAAUUACUGGGCGUAAAGGGCGCGUAGGCGGUCCGAUAAGUCCCGUGUGAAAGCCCCCGGCUCAACUGGGGAACUGCACGGGAAACUGACGGACUUGAGUUCGGGAGAGGGAAGCGGAAUUCCGGGUGUAGCGGUGAAAUGCGUAGAUAUCCGGAGGAACACCGGUGGCGAAGGCGGCUUCCUGGACCGACACUGACGCUGAGGCGACGAAAGCUAGGGGAGCAAACGGG
rnacentral:rRNA from 1 species